rnacentral:rRNA from 1 species
CCUACGGGAGGCAGCAGUGGGGAAUAUUGCACAAUGGGGGAAACCCUGAUGCAGCGACGCCGCGUGAGUGAAGAAGUAUUUCGGUAUGUAAAGCUCUAUCAGCAGGAACGAGACAAGACGGUACCUGACUAAGAAGACCCGGCCAACUACGUGCCAGCAGCCGCGGUAAUACGUAGGGGGCAAGCGUUAUCCGGAAUCACUGGGUGGAAAGGGAGCGUAGACGGCUGAGCAAGCCUGAAGUGAAAGGGGGGGGCCCAACCCCCGGACUGCUUUGGAAACUGUACGGCUGGAGUGCAGGAGAGGUAAGUGGAAUUCCUAGUGUAGCGGUGAAAUGCGUAGAUAUUAGGAGGAACACCAGUGGCGAAGGCGGCUUACUGGACUGUAACUGACGUUGAGGCUCGAAAGCGUGGGGAGCAAACAGGAUUAGAUACCCCAGUAGUC